UAUGUAGGGUUACAGAAGUGCAUGUGUGGACACACAGCUUCUGCCCUCUUUCCAAAACACACACACACACACACACACACACGUGCACACACUGACAGGUGUUCUGCCAGCUAUGAAGAACAGAACUCAUGAGCUGCCUCAUUGUGAAAGACGUUCUUUUCCAGUAACAACAAAGGAAGUCUUCCACCCAGCAGUAUGAAGGUAGACCAUUCUCUAUAAGCAGGUAAGACACACCAAUCUCCUAAAUGCUGAAGAGGACUAAAAAGCACACAACAUCAGACCACGGAGAAAAUCCCACCAAGUUCUUUGUGACAGCAAGCAGAGGCGAGGGCACCAAAAAUCCACCUCUGGCAUAUGAAGAGAGAGAGUGGGGAGGGAAAAAGCCAAAUUCUUAAGUUGUGCAAGAAUAAGUAAAUCACAUCCAACUAUGACAGCAUUAACAACACAAUAUCAAGGGUUCAUGUAAGCCUCCCAAACCAUUUCUCUGCUCCUGGGCAGACAAGGCAGGACAAGUGGAUAAAUAAGCUGUGCUCGCAGCCACACGCACCUGCCAGCUAUCGUCUUACCUUCCCGCUCUUGUGCGAUCUCAUUUGGACCCAAGUAAGAAGUCUCCCCUUACAGCCACAUUGUGCUCAUUCAUGCAGUCAUUCUCUAAACCAGUCUGGCUGCUCGGAGCGAGCAGAAUUACACUUAAGCCUCUGUGACCGGGGCACUGCAGGAUCCUCGCUUUUGGUCCGUUCCCUGCUGGAGUGGGAAGCGGUGACCGAACCCUCCCACUCAAUGGGCAAGCCCAAAUGUCCAUCUACAGCACCAAGGAUCCAUGGCUUUUAGAGUUUGUCAGAUUCUUGCAGUUUAUAGUGCUGAAAGCUCACCAAGAGGUGAGCCGGGGGUUAAAGUUAUUCGUCUCAUGAUUGAUCUGCUCUUCAGGUUUGCUGCAACGGGCCGCACUGUGCCUUUAAGAGAGCUCUGUAUGACUGCAGGGCUAGUCUUGGCACCUGGUCUUGGCCUUCUGAAUGUCCCUAUUCAGGCAGAGCUAUUGUGCUUUGACUUUUUGCUUCACCUUAAUCCAAAUGAGUUUUCAAGUUCAGACAAGCCCUCUGGUUGUUCAUAACUUUAACUACAUGGGACAUUACACAGGCACCUACAAACUGGCAGAAUCAGGCCCUUCACUAUUGUCUUAAGCCCGGUUUUGAAAAGAAUAUGGCACUGUUGCUUAUGGGUUUGCCAAAGCAAACUGUGACCUGGCAUCUGAAAAAAGCAAGGAGUCUGGGACGCGUGGCAACAACAGAUGUCUGCCGUGCAGCUGGGACAUGAACAAAGUCAGAGGGAGGAUCUGCAGGAGGCUGUGGUAGGAGGCUGAGGCCGCAGGGCAAGUGCAGCUCCUUCCCCAGCCACAGAGACCCCAUUUCAGUGCUGUCAAAUGCUUCAGAGCAACAGCUAAGAAAUUCUUUCCAUAUCUGCUGUUAAUUAGUAACUGCUUAUUUACAUCUAGGAAAGGCAAACACUGGUCUGCCUCUUCUGGAGUGCCGUGCUUCAGGAUUAGCGACAGACAGACCUUCUGCAGCUCACGACAUUUACCUACUGUAUUUUCUUUAACAGCUGAAGUAAUGACAUCUUAUUGACAGCACAGCAGAGCAAACAAUGUCUUACUGAAAGCUUCAGUGCUGGAUUUGGGCCGUCCUAAGGACCUGAGACCAAGUAAAGUAAGCAGGUUUUGCUACUGAAUGAAAGACAAUGACUGUUCUAGUUCACCGGUGGCCUUUAGCACUCCUAGACACAAAAAAGAUCUCCUCUACAAACCAUUUCAAGUGGAAUGACAUGAAUUGGGCGAGAAACAUGAGAAGUAAAAAAUCAAAUAAAAAGAUAGCAAAAAGUACGGUAAGGGAAAUUUAAAACCCAAUGAAAAGAGCCAUGUUUGCAGAGCGCGUCCCAUCCCAUCCAGCUGCUUCCCUUUGAACUUGGGGUGCCCCAGUUUCUGCGGGGGCCUCAGCGGUCAGGGAAUCGCUGCAGCCGGGCCCUUUGAUAUGAAAAGUGAAGGCUCUGCAGGAGGAGGGAAGGGAGUGCCUGAGUGCCUCGCACGCCUCCAGCCUGUCCUUUUUGGAGGGAGGUUGUUGAUUUCUUGUUUGAAGUGAUAAGCACAGACACAGUGAAAGCUCUGUGUCUGGGUCUCCAUGCUACACACCUAAGCUAAAAAUAAGUCUACAAAGCUCAUCAGAGAAAGUAGUACUGCAUCAGCCAGGCAGUGCGGAGGCUACUCUGGUAGCUUUUCUUCCUGUGAUUGCUUACAAGUUUGAGUUUGCUUUGAAAACUAGACGGUACUUCAAAACACAGGAGAUUUAAGAAUAAAAUUCCCAUUAGCAGCUGUUAUCAAGAAUUAUCAGGGCAAAUCCCUUCAUACUAAGACAAGAACAAACUUCUAAAAUUCAAAGGCUCUCAUAGGAAGAAAAAAAAGGAAAAGCCCCACAGAUAAGACCUUCACUCCCCCCCCUCCCCCCCCCCCCCCUCAACACACAUGUUCAUCUGCAGGGCUCAGCCCCCACCAGCAGGGGCUACAGUAUCUCACUAUCACGCACAAAGUGACCGAAUACCAACUGAACUGCAGUAACACGUAGUGCAUGUGCGUUGCCAACCCUCUGCAAAUGCGUGAUUAAAUGUGUUUGCUCUGACUCACUUUCAUUACUUGGCAAGAUGCUGUUUCUCACGCUGGCCACUGGGUAGGGACGUGUUGUGCUCGGUUCAGGUGGUGCGUGCUGAGGGCUCCACUCGUGCAGCUGGCUCCCUGCUGUGGCUGAAGCAUGGUACCCAAUCCUGGCCUUUCCCAGGGCUGCACACUUGCUCUCUCUCCUUGUGCUGUUGUCUCCCUUCUUAAUCAGUGAAGCUACGAUCAAAUCUCUUAGCCAAAUAGUAUAGUGCAUAGUACUACAACAUAGCACAGGAACUGUAGCGAGUGCCCCAGCCAGUACGGCCAACCUGCACCAGGUUGCUUGUACUCCUUUGGGACCAGUGCAUAUUCAAAAAAGAGAAAUGGGACUCGUUUCAGUUGGGAAAGCUGCAUUUCACAUUGUCUUAUCACCUGCUUAGCAAAGUCAUUGUUGUAGACAGAUAUAUGAAUGAUAUUUUUAAUUAUAUCAAACAGGCCAAAAAAAAAAAAACAAGAAAAAAGAAAAAGAAAGAGAAAGAGAAAAGAAAAAGAAAAAGAAGAAAAAGAAAAAAAAAAAAGAAAAAGAAAAAAGGAAAAGAAAAAGGAAAAGAAAAAGAAAAAGAAAAAGAAAAAGAAAAAGAAAAAGAAAAAGAAAGAAAAAGAAAAAGAAAAAAGGAAAAGAAAAAGGAAAAGAAAAAGAGAAAGAAAAAGAAAGAAAAAGAAAUAAGGAAAAGGAAAAGAAAAAGAAAAAGAAAGAAAAAGAGAAGAAGAAGAAAGAAAAAGAAACUAAGCUGAGUGUCUCACAUCUAAAAGUGGAACCCAAUUGUCACUUGCUGCAGUGACAGUCAGUUGGCUCAGAUCACCAUCCAAGCAGAUGAGUGUUCCUGUUUUUUUGUCAUGUUAUGUUUCUGACUGCAGUGUGACCACAUCAGCUCAGCAGAGCCCAAGGCAAAUAAAUACCAGCGGUAGGAAUGGCAGGGUGCAAAGUGCUUCAUUCAGAGGAAGCAACGAACUGCUAGGACAGCUCAAGACAUAGAACAGCCUAAAAAUGGCUUAGAAAGGAAGGAAGGCUGCCUGAACUGCCUAUACUCAACCAUUUCAGACUCAUGGAAAUUACUCUCUAUAUGCUGAACCUAGGCCAUUGGUUCACUCCCUCUAAUCCACUGUGAACAGUAUAUUGUUCUACUUCUAUGACAUAAAAAAAAGAAAAAUAAGUGACUGAUACAAACAACAUACCAAACAAAUCACUGGACAGACAUGUCCAACCUGCAGCAUGCGGCCUGCUGCAGCCCAUGGGCCGCAUGCGGCCUGGCACAUCUCGCCAUGUGGCCGCCCUCUGCCCCUCGCCAUCAUGGUGGCAGCUCUGCCCCAUGCACACCCAUCACUUAUCAAUUACCAAACACCAGUGCUUUAUUAACCCCAUCUGGGCUGAAACCGGGGCAUGGAGAGAGCACAGUGCAGUGCCUGCUCAAGUUAUGGUAAAUAAGUUUAUGGAUUUUCAUACAUUCGCAAAACACAGUCACAGUGAACAGCAAAAAAUAUGCAGCCUUGCUUUCCAUUUUGAUACAGGAAUUUGAGAACAGGUUUCAAGAUUGCAAAAAAAAAAAUCCCAAUUUUUUUUUUUUUUGUUUAUUUGUGACUCCUUUUUCAGUUGACAUAAAUACAUGACCUGCAAAUUUUCAAAUGAAAUGCACAGAGUUGCAAUCAGAUAUUCAACUGAAAAACUUGAUCAUGUCUCUCUACUGGACUUUCAUAAGCCCUCUUUUAUCAGAGAGAAAUAUCCUUCACUUCACAGUCACUCCUUAUCCAUGUCAUCACUGUUGGCAGUACGUAUAUUUGUGAACAACUGUUUUCAAAGAUGAAUCACAGGAAGAAUAAAAUUUCAUCAAAAAUCUCUGACAAACACCUUGAGAACUCAAUGAGAACGGCAACCACUGCCAUCGAAUCACUGCCAACCUGAUGCAUUAGUUUCACAGAAACAAGAUCCAAUAUCCCUCUAGUUUUAUGGUUUUGUUGCUCUCCUUUUUAUGUUUUAAUAAAAAAUAUUAAAAAAUAACAUGUUUUAUUACUUAUAUAUACAUUCACUAUACUAGUAGAUUUUAUGAGGACUGCUCCAAAAGUAGAACCUCCUUUAUUUUAUUUAUGCUGCUUUAUUAUGUUGGCCCACAGUAUUAGAGGAGGAUGUUGGUUGUUUGAAAGUAGAGGCUGAACCAUCCCACUGGUAUUCCAUUGUAUUUUGUUGUUGUGCGACAGAUGGCAGCAGAGGGGCGGUCUGACUGAAUGGCACCUGACGUGCAUAUGAGGUAAAGCUGUGUCACUGAAUUCCUCCAUGUGGAAAAAAAUUGCACCCAUUAACAUUCAUCAACACUUGUGAAUGUUUCUGGAGACCAAACAGUGGAUGUGAGCACAGUGAGGCAGUGAGUGGUGCAUAUAAGCAGUGGCAACAGCAACAGUGGGUCACCGCCACCAGUGCAGAUUUUUACAAGCAUGGCAUGCAGGCAAUUGUUCAUCACUAAUAAAAAUGCAGAGCUAAUGGUGGUGACUAUGUUGAAGAAUAGUGUUCUGCAGCUGAGAACUGGCUCUAUCAAAUAGUGUUACUGUGCUUUUGUAUCGAUUGUAGUUUCCACAGAAAUGAAUAGGAGGCAUUACUUUCAGAACAACCUACAUACAUACACCCAACACAAUUUUUCUUUCCUCUGUGCAGCCUGGGUAAGUCAAAAGGUUGGACACCCAUGCCCAAGGAGGUCUGUAAAGAGUACGUUUUGGUGAGGAAACAGUGAAAUGGUGAGGAGGUAGGUCAGAAACUGUUUGAGAGACUAGUUAAAGGAAUAAAAAAAACCCUCAGACCUUCCCCAAACACAAUGGAAGCCAGCAGCCUGAUAGGUAAUCGAUAAGGCCCAGGGGGCUUUCAGAAAGGGAAAAGUUAAGUGGGCUCUAAAUACUGAAGAGCAUUUCAGGGAGAUUCCCAUAGCAUGGGCUUUCCUGGUGAGAAGAAAAUAGGAGUAACUCAAAUUUAGUAGAGAAAGAUUUAGAACAGAUCAAUAAAAUAAGCAGUAAUUAAUCAGCAGGACUGUAUUAUAUUUCCCCAGGGCUGUAAAAGACCCGCUAGCUGCAGUGCACAACCUACCACUUAACAGGUGUUCAGGGAAUAAAACGUGGCAAAGGUGAUCCCAGCUCUGGAGAGGAAAAUUAGGAGAGGUCCAGAGAUUAACAGAUCCAUAAUGAUGACUUGGAAACACUAACCUGGGAAAAUUACGAUGAAGCAUAUCAUUAAAAGAUCUAGGAUAAACAUGAUACAAAGGGAAGAAAGUAUAGUGGCUUCUGUGGAGAGAAAAUCUUGCCUCAUAAAUCCAUUGAGCUCCUUUGAAAGUGUCAGUGUGAUCACAAGUUGUGGUGGUGUGUUAGUGCUACAGGAUGCCUGUGUUUGCAGAAAGGUUUUGACAAGAUCAAGAGGGUAGAUAAAUGAAGAUCUCAUAGUGAGUCAAGAAGAAGGAGUAGGAGUAAAGGAUUUUUUUUUUUUUUUUUUUUUUUUUUUCCACAAAAAGAGUGAUUUCCAAGGGAGUCCCACCAUCAUCUACAAACAGCGUAGCAAAGGUUACUGAUGUUGUGAACUUUAGGACAAUAUAGACUAAAGCUGACUGCAGAGUGUCACAGGAACAGCUUUCAGUCUAACACACAGAAUUACUCUCACCUAAUUGUGGACAUCUUCAACAUAGGUGUUAGAGAAACUGAGACACCUGAGGCUCGUUAGUAAUCAGUGGAAAGAGGUAUUUCUGAGACUGGAUUCCUCUGAUGUGUAAGAGACAGUUACAUUAGAAUUUGAGGAAUCAGCUCUAGAAAUGCCUCUUUCUAUCCACUUUCACAGUGAAAUGGGAAUGCAUGGCUGAGGCCAUUCAUCUACAUUUAGCCCGAUGGACCUGCUCUGAAUGUGCAGGCAGUAAAAUAGCAGACAAAAUUCAAUGUCAAUAAAUGUAAAGCAGUGAACAUGGAGGAAAACAACCUUAACUACAUAUAUAUAAUUUAAUGGGUUUUAAAUUGGUUAUUACCACUCAGAAAAGAGAACUAGGAGUUACUGCUGAUAAUUCUAUGUGGAAAGCUCUCAGUUCACUGUUAUCAGUGCUCAAAAAGUUCCUAGGAAAGGCUUAAAAUCAAAACAGAAACUAAAUGGUGGCACUGUGAAAAUGGUGCAUCCCUCCUGUUUCAGUGGGGACAGUUCAGGCCCCAUCAUUUCAAAAAUCAUGGUAAAAAUGGUACAGGUGUAGGACAAAGGCAAGAGGGUUGCCCAAAGGUUGGAACACCUUUUGAAUGGGGAAAGGUACAACAAGGAGGACUCAUCAUUACUGGGACCAAUGCUCUUUAAUAUCUUCAUCAAAGCCAUGAACAGUGGAUUGAGUGCACCCUCAGCAAGCCUGUAGACAACACCAAGCUGAGGGAUGGGAUGCCAUCCAGAGAGACCUAGAUAAGCUGAAGCAGUGGGCCCAGGUGAUCAUCAUGAUGUCCAACAAAGCCAAGUGCAAGCUCUUGCACCUGGGUCAUAGCAACCCUGCCUAUCAAUACAAGCUGGGGAAUGUAAGAAUAGAGCACAGCCCUGCCAAAAAGGACCUGGGGGUACAGGUGGAUGGCAAGCUGAGCAUGAGCCAGCAAUGUGCCCUUGCAGACCAAAAAGUCAGCCGUAUACCCUGGGAUGCAUCAAAAGAAAUGUGGCCAGCAGGGCGAGAGAGGUGAUCCUGCCCCUCUACUCUGUGCUGGCAAGACCUCACCUGGAGCACUGCAUCCAGAUGUAGAGUGCUCAGUACAGGAGAGACACAGACCUGUUGGAGCACAUCCAGAAGAGGGCCACAGAAGUGAUUCAAGGGACGAAACACCUCUCCUACAAGGACAGGCUGAGAGAGCUGGGAGUAUUCAGCCUGGAGAAGAGAAAGCUCUGGGGAGCCUUUCAGUAUCUAAAGGAGAGCUGUAAGAAAGAAGGGGACAGACUCCUUAGCAGGGUCUGUUGUGACAGGAAAAGGGAAAAUGGUUUCAAACUAAAAGAGAGAAGAUUUAGACUGUAUAUAAGGAGGUUUUUUGUGGUAAGGGUAGUGAAGCACUGGAACACUGGAAAAACUGCAUAUUCGCUGCACUGACAGAUAUAAAUCAGGGACAAGAUGUUCCCUUUGUUUAGACAGGUUAUUCAGAGCUGCCUAUGUCUAGCAAAAGGCCGGUAAGUGAUCUGCCAGGGCUUCCCUUAAUGGCCAGAGUUUAAAAGGGUCCCAAUAAGGCACAGCAAAGCAGAACUGUGGCUGAGGACAGGACGUACUGAAACCCACCCAGGUGGAUCUACCAGAUUGACUGGGGACCACAGCAAAGGACCUCAGUGGAACCCUACAAAACCAAUCCAUAUAUCUUUAUAUUUGAUAUAUAACAUACUUUAUAUAAAUACAUAAUAUAUUUUUUUAACUCUGCAUACAGGCAUUUGGAAAAAUGUCUAAGCUGCUGCUUGGAGAUUGAUUCUUCAAAACUGCCAAAACUGCAAAUCCACUAAUGUGCCACAGAAAUUGAGAAUUAGCAGUGUCUGCCUUGGAGAUCUUCCAAACACAGAGAUAAUACUACGAAAAAAAUGGCAGAAAAGAAAUGAGAAAGAACUAGAAAUCUUUCACGUCCUUCACAGUGGAUAUACCACAGCUCCAUGCAGGAAGGAGUGUGGAUGUGUUUCUGCUUCCCUUGUGUCCCCCCAGUCCCACAGCACCACUGCUGGCACUGAAACCUUCGGCACACUGUGAGGAACCUACCCAGCCCCUCCAUGGGGACAUGCGGCACAAAGCCACUGCAGCAUUUUAGUUGGGCUCUCCCUUCUUCAGGAACUCAUGCUGGAUGAUGUCAACCUUUGUGGUUAACAGCUUAUUUAAUAAAAUAUUGAUUUUUUUUUUCCCCUCGUGCUGUAGGAAAUAAGACCUUCAAGCACGUUGAUGAAGUACUUUAGUUUCCUUAAAUUCUUUCCAGGGUCUUAACUGAAAGUCUGAAUCCUAAACUAGACGUUUCCCAUUCAUUUAUGCUCACAUUUCCUGCAAGUCCUAUAAAGUAUGUGCACCAAGUUGGCCGAUGAAGGAGCACACCACAACUUUUUUGAUUUCUCCAGAGGUAGAGGUCCACCAUCAGCUGUGCAUGGAAAAAUCUAUGAGUGUGAUUUUGAGAGGAAAAAGCCCUUACAAACAGCACUGGGGUAAAGCAUGGGGCAAAGCAUCAAUAUCUGUAAUAGCUUCUUGCCGACCAAAACUAAACAAAGUGGAAAUGAAAUGGUUUGUAUAUCUCACACAAGAAGCAUAUGUAAUUUGGAUAGUGUAAACUGCAAUUAAGCAGUGCAUGUGAGAAACAUACAUCAUUUGCAUCUCAUUAAUGAAUAAUAAAAUUAGUAUUAGAGAUGAGGAUGUACUACAAGCUGAGGUAUAGAGAUUUGGUUUAUCCCUAAAACAAAGAUUUUGAAAACAGAAACCAUUACAUUUUUAAAUAAUAAAGGAAAAUAAAGAGUAUCUGUAGGGUUCUGAAACAGUAUUUAACUGAAGGCCUAAUUUUCUAAAAUACAGAACAAAAAGACACUAUAAAGACUUUAUUUCAAGAAUACACAUGGUAUUCCUAAUAGUGUUCACUAUAAUGCAGAAUGGUACUAAGGAGUAACAGUACGCCUUGCUGAUGACAUCUAGGAAUUGUACCUGUACUGAUAAAUUCUGAAAUGAAGUAGCAUCAUCUGAAAUACAGAAACCUCAGUUUAAAAAUUUCUUUAUCUGCUAAGUUUGUAAUUUAAUCUUUCACAAAAUAAAUGGAUUGAAAUCAAAUUCUGCUUUUUUUUUUUUUUUUUUUUUU
ensembl:lncRNA